rnacentral:rRNA from 1 species
UACGUAGGCAGCGAGCGUUGUUCGGAGUUACUGGGCGUAAAGGGUGUGUAGGCGGUUCUCUAAGUUUGGUGUGAAAUCUCCCGGCUCAACCGGGAGGGUGCGCCGAAAACUGGGGGACUCGAGUGCGGGAUGGGAGAGUAGAAUUCCUGGUGUAGCGGUGAAAUGCGUAGAUAUCAGGAGGAAUACCGGUGGGGUAGACGGCUCUCUGGACCGCCACUGACGCUGAGACACGAAAGCGUGGGUAGCAAACAGG